rnacentral:snRNA from 1 species
UGCAUUUUGUACUUGCUUUAGUUGCACACUGGGAUGAUACAGAAAAAAUUAGUAUGGCCCCUGUGCAAAGAUAACACACAAAUUCAUAAAGCUUGCCGUAUUUUG